rnacentral:rRNA from 1 species
ACGAUGAAGAGUUUGAUCCUGGCUCAGGAUGAACGCUAGCGGCAGGCCUAACACAUGCAAGUCGAGGGAUAAGCUUUCGAGCUAAAACCGGCGUACGGGUG